ensembl:lncRNA
GAAGAAAGGAGAGAGGGGUGGGGGUUGGCUGGAGUCCAUGUUAGCAGCAGGGGAGUGGAGCAGUCAGUAGGGGAGGAUCACCGAGUGGCACGUGGAGAGGCAGUAUUUCAUCGAGCUGGAAGAGAUACAGAGCUGCGGAGGAGGAGAGAGAAAAGAGAGAAGGUGGAGGCAAAAGACAAGCCUCCUUCUCCUUAGUAAGACAAGUGAGCAGUGCACCUCGAGCACGCCAAAAUCAGCACAACCCUUGACUGACACACACUCGUGCGUGCACACCCACACCCAACACGUUUAAGGUUGUGGAAUGCGCCUGCUGUGGCUGAGACUGACAGGGCAAGCAGCCAGCAUUGAGUCACAGCACUGCGCUUUCUUCUAUUCUAACGCCGGCUGCACCCUGGAAACACACACAGAAAGCUUUGCAUAUUCACAACACCUCUGAAUGCUACGGACAUAACACAGAUACCUCCACACCCAAGGAUUAAUGAGUGAUGCACCAGUGACUGCAUGCAAACUGGAACCGGGGCUAUCAUCUCUGAGCUGGAUGAUGGAUGCUACUUGUCCUGGAUGGUAGAAACUGAGGGACAUUUCAACAGGAUUGUGUAUACAGUGUGUGAGUGUCAGGAUGGCGGUACGGUUCUGGACCCUUGUACUUUGUGUGGCACUGUGGAAAGAGUCUUCUGCACAUGGAGCAAAGAACAACUAUCCGAGAUUACGGCUGUCCCAUAAAGAAGUAAUUGCUGAGAGGAAGAGAGGCUUGGCUGGUUAAUUUCCUCUGGAUGGGGAGUCAUGACAGACCUAAUUUGGCACAGACAGAAAGUACAAAUAACACCAGUUACUGGGAACAAUACCAGCCAAACACAAGGCAAUGAAGGGUCUGCUGGUGUUCUGAGGUGCCCCAGAGGUAUCAUCUCUACAGGGCCAUCUGGACUACAGAGCAGAGAGAUCCUUCUGCUAUUCGGCCCACAGGAAAUAAACUCCUCUGGGUUUCUGAUCAGAGCAAAGAGCCUUCACCUACCAAACCCUGCAGAGACAUCGACUCAGAGACUUGUUUAUCAUGCUGUUCCUUUUAAUUACAGGGAAAAUAUUUCAGGUGUGUGUCUGUGCACCAAAUGUUUGUUGAGUGUCCUUCCCUUUCCUGGAGUGAAUGCAUAAACAUUAAUAAGGUAACGCCAGAGGUCAACACUGAAAAUUCAGAUCACACAGUUUGUCAACAACAAAACCAAUAUCAGCUCACAGUAACCAGGGUUCAGUGUAUGUGUGUGUGUUUUAAUCAUAUGCAGGGUGAUUAUCUGUUAGGAUACAUGAUUAUACUACUGGUUAAGCAAUAUUUAUUAUUAAAUAAGGAAGAAUACAUGAGGAGAUGUGCUGUUAUAGAAAAAUAAUUAAUGCUGGGGUGAUGUAACGAAGGGCUCUUACCACUCCAGAUUUGAUUAUCUUUGCUAUAACAGCACAGCUAUAACAGGUGUUUUAUUCCUCUUAUACCACAUCAACGUAAAUUCUUUUUAAAUUAAAGAAUUAAAUCAUACAAUUUAUCCGUGCUUAGUUAGACAGUCAUCCUUUCACCAGCCUCUCUAUUUUCUCUCUCUUGAAGUUAAUAACACAAGACUUCCAAUAGUAACAGCUUUACCUCUGACAAAGAGUUGAGAGUCCUUCCAUAAAUGUUAAAUAAAUCUAUUUUUUCAGAAAAAUUCAGCAUAUCAACAAUUACACAUUUUUCUUUGUUAGCAUGUUUUGAGCCAUCUAAUUUUAGACUUAGAUUAUGUGGAGAGUCUGCCAUAGUAGUCCUUGAGAAUUAACUGUAAUUAUAGUGUAUUAGGACAAGUGCAACUAGAACUACUGUUAGAGCUGUUGUUGAAAUGUGAUCCAUCCAUCCAUCCAUUUUCCUUACCACUUAUCCUACACAGGGUCACAGGGGAACCUGGAGCCUAACCCAGGGAACUUGGGGCACUAGGUGGGGAACACCCUGGACAGGCUGUCAAACCAUUGCAGGGCACAAUCACACACACUAUGACACACACAUUCACACAUUAUGGACAAUUUGGAAAUGCCAAUCAGUCUACAACGCAUGUCUUUGGAUUGGGGGAGGAAACCAGACUACCUGGAGGAAACCCUCAAAGCACGGUGAGAACAUGCACACAGGGUGGAAUUCGAACCCACAACCCUGGAGGUGCAAGGCAAACGUGCUAACCGCUAAGCCC